rnacentral:lncRNA from 1 species
UUUCAUUUGUUCUUUACAAAGUGUUAGAUACAAUUUCACUGCACAUAAGAAUUUUCAAGCUCGGUUAAAAUGUAUUUUCAAGCAUACAAACCACAACUAAACAACACAAAUGUAAAUAUAUACGAUUGAGUCAUACUUCCUAGAAAAAGGCAAGCAAUGGACUGGUAAUAGGUAGGCCUGUUUUAGAGAGAUUGUGGUAAACUAAAAUUCAUUAUUACAUGCAAAAUGUUUUUGCUUCGGAGCAGAACACUGACUAUCUCUGUCUUUGUAUCUUUUUCUUCCCAGAGCUAGAGUGUGAUGCCUUGCUCCUAUUCAUGGCUCUUUGACCUAAAAAUUUUGAACAAUCUAAAUUAGUUAUUCAUUCAAUGGGAAAUCUGAAGUGGGGAUUACUUCGCCAAUAUUAUUAGCAAGUUUAUGAGGGAAAAGAAAAAUGGUCGAGGUUCCUUGAUCCUAGUAACAUGAGCUGAGAUUAUUUUGUCAGGGACUCAUGGUCAUGGCUGUAUAUAAUUUUCACAAGCAACACACCCUAUGUGACAACCUACCUUCGAUCACAAAGCUAUAUAAUCUAUAUAAUAGACAAAAAUGGAGCCUUCGAUAACCUAAAUACCUAUUUUUCCUACCAUAGUGUGAUGAGGCUCUGAAACUGCACAUACAGGGAUUUUCAUGGGACCAUUCAGGACUUUGAAAAAAGAUACAAAACUGCAUUCAGCCCCUCCAUCUAAGGGUACCUCAAUAAUAAACCAAUACUUCAUGAUAGAAUAAUCUGAAAAUCAUACUCCCUCCGUCCCAAAAUUCUUGUCUUAGAUUUGUCUAGAUACAUAUGUAUCUAAUACUAAAACGUGACUUGAUACACUCGUAUUUAGAAAAAUCUAAGACAAGAAUUUUGGGACGGAGGGAGCAUAUGAUAACAAUGCAAAAUAAUCUUGCAGCACCUCCUAAAACUGUAAAAGCUGUGAAAUUGGCAGUCAACUUACUAUCAAUAGGAAACACCACACUAUGAUAACAAUGCAAAAUAAUCUUGCAGCACCUCCUAAAACUGUAAAAGCUGUGAAAUUGGAAGUCAACUUACUAUCAACGGAAAACACCACACUGCACUAUAUUUUUCCAGGAACAAGAUGCUAAUAUGCUUUCCCGUUCCCACUGCAAGGAUGCAUGUCGUCUCCCCAUUCUCCACCGCGAGGACGCCGGCACGUCCCUGUUCUCCA